rnacentral:rRNA from 1 species
GACGAACGCUGGCGGCGUGCCUAAUACAUGCAAGUAGAACGCUGAAGGAGGAGCUUGCUUCUCUGGAUGAGUUGCGAACGGGUGAGUAACGCGUAGGUAACCUGCCUGGUAGCGGGGGAUAACUAUUGGAAACGAUAGCUAAUACCGCAUAACAGUAGAUAUCGCAUGAUAUCUACUUGAAAGGUGCAAUUGCAUCACUACCAGAUGGACCUGCGUUGUAUUAGCUAGUUGGUGAGGUAACGGCUCACCAAGGCGACGAUACAUAGCCGACCUGAGAGGGUGAUCGGCCACACUGGGACUGAGACACGGCCCAGACUCCUACGGGAGGCAGCAGUAGGGAAUCUUCGGCAAUGGACGGAAGUCUGACCGAGCAACGCCGCGUGAGUGAAGAAGGUUUUCGGAUCGUAAAGCUCUGUCGUAAGAGAAGAACGAGUGUGAGAGUGGAAAGUUCACACUGUGACGGUAUCUUACCAGAAAGGGACGGCUAACUACGUG